rnacentral:rRNA from 14 species
AUCUUACUAACAUAAGUAAAAUAAAUCAAACGAGAUAUUGAUAGUAAUGGCGAAUGAACUCAAUAAAAAGGCUAUUUAUAACUUUUGUAAAUUUACUUGAAAAUAACAAAAAGAGGUGCAGUCCUGUAAAAGAAAAUUUCAAAAAAAAAUAAAUUAUGUAGUACUUAUAAAAAAUUAGUAUGAAUAAAGAAGAACCACCUCCUAAGCCUAAA